rnacentral:lncRNA from 1 species
CUCCUUCGACGGCGCCGCCUAGGAACGCGGAGAAAAUAUGACAAAGGAACGGCCAAAAAUAAAAAGAAAGACCUUUCUUUUGAAAAAAAAAACAAAAAAAAGGAAUGCAACACGAGGACUUCCCAGGAGGUCACCCAUCCUAGUACUACUCUCGCCCAAGCACGCUUAACUUCGGAGUUCUGAUGGGAUCCGGUGCUUUAUUGCUGGUAUGAUCGCAUCCGACAUACCGUGCGUUCUCCUCCCCUUUAUGCCCGCACCUCCGUGUACGGCCCGCCCAUAGCUCCUUCGACGGCGCCGCCUAGGAACGCGGAGAAAAUAUGACAAAGGAACGGCCAAAAAUAAAAAGAAAGACCUUUCUUUUGAAAAAACAAACAAAAAAAAGGAAUGCAACACGAGGACUUCCCAGGAGGUCACCCAUCCUAGUACUACUCUCGCCCAAGCACGCUUAACUUCGGAGUUCUGAUGGGAUCCGGUGCUUUAGUGCUGGUAUGAUCGCAUCCGACAUACCGUGCGUUCUCCUCCCCUUUAUGCCCGCGCCUCCGUGUACGGCCCGCCCAUAGCUCCUUCGACGGCGCCGCCUAGGAACGCGGAGAAAAUAUGACAAAGGAACGGCCAAAAAUAAAAAGAAAGACCUUUCUUUUGAAAAAACAAACAAAUAAAAGGAAUGCAACACGAGGACUUCCCAGGAGGUCACCCAUCCUAGUACUACUCUCGCCCAAGCACGCUUAACUUCGAAGUUCUGAUGGGAUCCGGUGCUUUAGUGCUGGUAUGAUCGUAUCCGACAUACCGUGCGUUCUCCUCCCCUGAAUGCCCGCGCCUCCGUGUACGGCCCGCCCAGAGCUCUUUAGAUGGGACUUCCGAUGGAAUCGGAGACAAUAGGACAAAGGAACGGCCAAAAAUAAAAAGAAAGACCUUUCUUCCGAAAAAACAAACGCCUCCGUGUACGGCCCGCCCAUAGCUCCUUCGACGGCGCCGCCUAGGAACGCGGAGAAAAUAUGACAAAGGAACGGCCAAA